CAGGCAGAUGAAGUCCCCAUCAGAACCAUGGCGGCUAGAUUGGAGCGGCACGCGGAUGGAGGAGAUCCCCGGUUUACUCCCUUUUGUAUCUUCCCGUUCCCCCGAGAACGUUUCUACCUGUAAGGUUUGCUUGAACCACAAAAAAUUGGAGUCCUCUAGAUGCCAUCUACGGUAACCAGUGUCCAAAAUUUUCUCCGUUUUGGUUUAAUUUGUUUUUUUGUACGGUAACAUGAUGCUCUUCUAAUGCUUUAUUUCUUAUUUACAUUUCCUUUCAGUUAUUAGUGUCUAUUAUCAGAUAUCCAUGAUUAUAUUGGCAAUUUCGUUAUUCUAUACAAAUUCAGAAAGAUUCAACUGUCUCAUCAUUUAGUCUCAGAAUUUUCAUUGGUAUACAUUUUACAAGAGCUAUGUGUCCUGCCCUAUAACAUGUACAUUUUAUUAGAGUAUUAUAGUAGUUCCUUCCAGUUGUUGUAAUUAUUAGUGAUUUCUUUUUCGUUCAUGUCAGUUUUGAGCAACAAGGUUUGAAUUUUUUUCUUACGAAUCUUAGUUUCCUCUUCCAGUUGCAAACACUUGCUUGGCUAUCUUAGAACUGGACUAUUUGUGAAACUUGGAUGUAACUCCUGACGAUGCACAUUUUCUUAAGGAAAUAUCUUGAAGAACAACAUGGUGAAUCAUGCGAGCAUCCCAGCUGCAUUGGGUCAUCGGUCAUGCGUACCUCAUCGAGAAGAAGGAUGACACCGUUAUCACUGGUGUUGCCUAUUUUUGUGUCUAGAUCUUAAUUUAAGAUGAUGAUUUGUUAAUACCAUACAACAGCUUCCAACAGGAGUGAGCAAUGUGGUAGGAUACUGCUAGAGAGUGCCGCUGAUCCAAAUGUCAGAAGUAUCCUUUCCAACUUUGAAUUCUGAUAAAAAAUAGUUUUAUGAUAUUCAGUUUGUGUUAAUUUCAUAUUUGGAAUUUCAGGUCACUGUUUGUAACUUUUUCUUUAAUAAUUUGAAUUCCAAGGUUGAGGGCUUCCAUCAGACUUGACAGGGGUCCAGGGGCACACCCAAAUUGGCCAUGAUGCAACAAGCUGAAGGUCAUGACUUGGCCGUGACGGAGAACCAAACUGGGCUAACAGAUAUCAGCUUGGCCCGGCUAACAGAGGUAAGGGAGUUUGAUAGAAUAAUUCAAUUGAGCAAUUUUUUUUUGGGAGUUCAAAUUCAUACACAAGAUAUAAUACAAAUCUAAUACCAUGAUUCACCAUGUACAAACCUAGAAUAAUGGCAACAGUAAAUUGCUUUACUAUGUUGAUGUAACUUGAGAUAGGUAAAGUCAAGAGUAUGUGUGCUUUUUCACUGGCAGAAUGGUGCUGCUGUUAUCAGUGGCGUCAACUGUGUUGAACUACUACUUCAUUUAGUCACUUUUUAGACAUGUGCUAUGUAAAUUUUGGUUCUGCCAUCAUAAGCGUCUGCUAGAGUAAGAAUAAAAAUCUAUCUGUUCCUAUGUACACAAAAAUACUUGCCUGCCGGGUGUACAUUUUGAGUCAUACAAAUGCACUAUCCGAUAGAUGGAAGCACAUUAUUCUUUGGCUGAAGAUUGUUAACUGCUUUAUCCUGCAGACUGAGAUAUUGUUUUUGUGAGCUGCGGACUCUUGCUAAUUCUUUGAGGCUUUGCUAAGAUAGUUGACUGCUAGCAGUACAAUUUAUGUCGGAUUGAGAAUUUCUAUGGUGCUUAGCCUCUGGUUGGUAUUUUUUUAAUAAAUCCUUCGUUGACAGAGUCGGUAGCUAUAUUUAGAUCAUAGAUCACGAAGAGAGUUCAUCCAUUGUUUUCAUCACUUCCUUACCAAUUUUAGUACUCGAAACGCGGAAGAUUCGAGUUAAUGGUACUGCUGUGCAUCCUAUUAUAUUAGUUCAUAAGAGAGUGGUACUAUACUAAUAUAGAUUAUUCUAUAUUUGUGUUUGCUUUGCUCCACUGCCGAGAUUUGUUUUCGAGAGGAUUAAAAAUACUAGCACUUGAUGAAAACGGACAACCCAUUACUAAGAUGAGGAACAUAGUGGACCAAGAGAAUAUACAGCGUGAGAUCAGUUGCAGCAUAUGUCCAUGCCACAUGACAACAUGUGGUGCCUCAGGUUUCAGUCAGUGCUUUCUGAGGCAUGGACAUCUCGUUUGGGUUUUCCAUUUAAGCGAUGACCAUUUUGACUACCUGUUGUUCUGCUGAGUUUUUGAUGCAGUGUUAAGUAUCUAGGCUUCUACUGAUUCUCAUCUAUUCAUCCAAAUUACACAGCUAAGUAUCAUACUUAGACAGUUAAGUUCAUGUGCUUGCAGGUGACAGGUACAGCUACAAAUUUAGUACCUGGUCUUUUUGCAACGGUUGAUGUGUUUCCAGGGGAGGGCAACUUUGACAAAAAAAAAUUAAACGGUGGCAAAAGCCUUGCCCCAAUCUAUUAAUUAAGACAGAGGUCUUGAUGAUCCCUUUGUAUUCAUGAAGCAGAAUUAUCUCCUAACUCCAGGGACUGCCUAACUGCCAUAUGCUUGAGUUCAAAAAUUGACUCCAGCAUACUUCGUUCUGCACCUAGGAAGCUAUUGUAGGGAGGCAGCAUUUAGCAGGGUUUAUGCUUCUCCUUCCCGGUUGAAAUCUCUUUUCUCUAGAUGUGAGUAUAAACAACACCACAGAAUUCUGAUAUUAGUCCUUUUUUAGAGUUCAGAGAUGUCUGAUGUUUUUUCAAACUAUUGGAUUGUGAUUUUCAUUCUUGAGCCUUCACUGAAUUGUUUGUUAUGUUAUGUGAAAUGCAAUUACCAGGUAUGCAUGUCACCUCCUAACCCUUAAGACUAUGUAUGAAAUUCAUGCAAGCAACUUCUAUCUUACUGAUUUAUAGGUAAAUCUGAUGAGCGGUAAUUUAAUCUUGAAGACCACUAGAUGGUCCAAGUGGAAGACUACUUCACUGCUGGCUUCACCAUGAUGGUUGGCUUGCAGUCUUUUGAGGGAAAUGGUAUUUUAUUGUAUUGCACUGAAGUUCUGUGUGGAACAAGUAUGCAAGCUGAAUUUCUUGAUGCAUGUUGGUAUGUUUUAAUUUGUAUUCUCAUGAUUUCAUUACAGUUCAUGUAAUUCAUUGCUUUGCACUAGAUUGUUUGCCAUCUACUCCUUUGUCAGCUUGGCUUUAGCGGUGCAUAUCUCAAGUGAGCAAGGCAAAACUAUAGAAGUGUGUAGUGGUUUGGAUAAGGUUUGAUGCUAUAACUCCUAGAAAAGGUCAGGUAAGGUGUCAUUAUCUUCAUAAUGUUUCUACAGUUGGGGCCAUCACUUCAGUUAUGAACUUCUAGAGAGAAUAAAUUCCUUCUAUUGUUCACCAUUUAUGUAUGUUAGAUUUGUAUAG